rnacentral:rRNA from 1 species
AGAGUUUGAUCAUGGCUCAGGAUGAACGCUGGCGGCGUGCCUAACACAUGCAAGUCGAACGGUCAGGUUAUUUCGGUAGCCUGAUAGUGGCGAACGGGUGAGUAACACGUUGGUGACCUACCCCGAAGUGGGGGACAACUCCUCGAAAGAGGAGCUAAUACCCCAGAUGUCUAAAGGUUUAGACGCUUUAGACUAAAGUUUUUCGGAAUGCUUUGGGAGGGGCCUGCGGGCUAUCAGCUAGUUGGUGAGGUAAAGGCUCACCAAGGCGAAGACGGCUAGGGGGCGUGAGAGCGUGACCCCCCACAAGGGAACUGAGAAACGGUCCCUACUCCUACGGGAGGCAGC